rnacentral:rRNA from 1 species
GUGGGGAAUCUUGCGCAAUGGGCGAAAGCCUGACGCAGCCAUGCCGCGUGAAUGAUGAAGGUCUUAGGAUUGUAAAAUUCUUUCACCGGGGACGAUAAUGACGGUACCCGGAGAAGAAGCUCUGGCUAACUUCGUGCCAGCAGCCGCGGUAAUACGAAGGGGGCUAGCGUUGCUCGGAAUUACUGGGCGUAAAGGGCGCGUAGGCGGACAGCUUAGUCAGAGGUGAAAGCCCAGGGCUCAACCUUGGAAUUGCCUUUGAUACUGGCUGUCUUGAGUUUGGGAGAGGUGAGUGGAACUCCGAGUGUAGAGGUGAAAUUCGUAGAUAUUCGGAAGAACACCAGUGGCGAAGGCGACUCACUGGCCCAAUACUGACGCUGAGGCGCGAAAGCGUGGGGAGCAAACAGGAUUAGAAACCCGAGUAGUCC